rnacentral:rRNA from 1 species
AUUGAACGCUGGCGGCAGGCCUAACACAUGCAAGUCGGGCGAGCGGUGGACGGGUGAGUAAUGUAUGGGGAUCUGCCUGAUGGCGGGGGAUAACUACUGGAAACGGUAGCUAACACCGCAUACCAUCACAUGAACCCAUAUGGGAUUCGCUGGUAGGUGAGGUAACGGGUUACCAGGGCGACGAUCCCUAGCUGGUCUGAGAGGAUGAUCAGCCACACUGGAACUUGGACACGGCCCAGACUCCGACGGGAGGCAGCAGUGGGGAAUAUUGCAAAAUGGGCGCAAGCCUGAUGGAGCCAUGACGCGUGUAUGAAGAGGGCCUUCGGGUUGUAGAGUAGUUUCAGUCGGGAGGCGUUACCGACAGAAGAAGCGCCGGCUAACUCCGUGCCAGCCGCCGCGGUAAUUC